CAGUCAAAAGUGACGUUACAUAUUCUCGCGAGAUUUCGAGGGUUUACAGCGACGCGCCUCUUUUGACGUAAAAUCUUCAGGGCUAAUCACUGACCAUGACUACGACCAGCACCAUCUUCAUCUCUGAACAAAACCCCAACGUUUCCAAGAUAUGGGGGUGCGGUUAGUUCAUCAGUUAUGAAGACACAAGAAUCUUUGGAGUUACGCGAAGGGCUGUUUUCUCUUGGCAAACGCUAGCCGACUCCUCUUCCCCUGUCAACGCCUGCUCACUCGUCGUUCCUUCCAAUGGACUCCUGUUACUACUACUGCCCAAAGUGAAAGACACUUCCUUAUAUGCAGCUCAACAGAAAUGGGAUUUCUUGACAUCUAAAUGUGAUGCCUAACCCACAGAGACCGCUUCGGAAGAAGGUAACCUGAGCACUGAUGAUAAGUGGAGGCAGAGAGAGACCAACUGAGCCCCAAGCCACUUGAGAAGAAAAAGUACUACUUUCAGCUACAAUUUCGGUGGCCCUGAGAGCUCAAUGCUCUGCAACUUAAAAGCAUAUAGAAAUAGACAAAACGCAAGCAAAUUGAGAAAACCUCUUCAUCAAUUUGACAACACACACACUGCAAAUACUCUCAACACAACCAAAUAGACAAGCACGAUACAAAUGUGUUGUCAAAUUAAUGAAGAUGUUUUCUGAAUUUGUUUGUGUUUAAGUUGCAAUGCAUUGAGCUCUCAGGGCACUGUACACAGUGGCUAAUGCACUACCCCUUCCAGAAGGGCACCAAAACAGCCUAUAAUGAUCAUCAUGCACUCGCACAAAUGCAACCAUGUGAAAUUUUAACAUCCCUUUAAAAAAUGGUUGCAUAUGUGAUCAUUUUGGUCACAGCCAGGACCCCGAUACUAAUUUAGCAAAGAAUAUGCAUAACUAUCAGUAUGUUCCAAAGUGAGACAGAUGUUAGUUUAAGACAUGGGAACUGGUAGAGCGUCUUUCUCUUACCUUCAUU